GCCAGCAUAGCUCAGUUGGUAGAGCUACUGAUUUGUAAUCAGUAGGUCGGGGGUUCGAGUCCCUCUGCUGGCUCUA
rnacentral:tRNA from 1 species